UACGAAGGGAGCUAGCGUUGUUCGGAAUCACUGGGCGUAAAGCGCAUGUAGGCGGCAGCGCAAGUCGGGCGUGAAAUCCCACGGCUCAACCGUGGAAGUGCACUCGAAACUGCGCAGCUAGAGUCCUGGAGAGGAAGGUGGAAUGCUUGGUGUAGAGGUGAAAUUCGUAGAUAUCAAGCGGAACACCGGUGGCGAAGGCGGCCUUCUGGACAGUGACUGACGCUGAGAUGCGAAAGCGUCGGGGAGCAAACAGG
rnacentral:rRNA from 1 species